rnacentral:rRNA from 1 species
CAGUCGAACGCUUCUUUUUCCACCGGAGCUUGCUCCACCGGAAAAAGAGGAGUGGCGAACGGGUGAGUAACACGUGGGUAACCUGCCCAUCAGAAGGGGAUAACACUUGGAAACAGGUGCUAAUACCGUAUAACAAUCGAAACCGCAUGGUUUUGAUUUGAAAGGCGCUUUCGGGUGUCGCUGAUGGAUGGACCCGCGGUGCAUUAGCUAGUUGGUGAGGUAACGGCUCACCAAGGCCACGAUGCAUAGCCGACCUGAGAGGGUGAUCGGCCACAUUGGGACUGAGACACGGCCCAAACUCCUACGGGAGGCAGCAGUAGGGAAUCUUCGGCAAUGGACGAAAGUCUGACCGAGCAACGCCGCGUGAGUGAAGAAGGUUUUCGGAUCGUAAAACUCUGUUGUUAGAGAAGAACAAGGAUGAGAGUAACUGUUCAUCCCUUGACGGUAUCUAACCAGAAAGCCACGGCUAACUACGUGCCAGCAGCCGCGGUAAUACGUAGGUGGCAAGCGUUGUCCGGAUUUAUUGGGCGUAAAGCGAGCGCAGGCGGUUUCUUAAGUCUGAUGUGAAAGCCCCCGGCUCAACCGGGGAGGGUCAUUGGAAACUGGGAGACUUGAGUGCAGAAGAGGAGAGUGGAAUUCCAUGUGUAGCGGUGAAAUGCGUAGAUAUAUGGAGGAACACCAGUGGCGAAGGCGGCUCUCUGGUCUGUAACUGACGCUGAGGCUCGAAAGCGUGGGGAGCAAACAGGAUUAGAUACCCUGGUAGUCCACGCCGUAAACGAUGAGUGCUAAGUGUUGGAGGGUUUCCGCCCUUCAGUGCUGCAGCUAACGCAUUAAGCACUCCGCCUGGGGAGUACGACCGCAAGGUUGAAACUCAAAGGAAUUGACGGGGGCCCGCACAAGCGGUGGAGCAUGUGGUUUAAUUCGAAGCAACGCGAAGAACCUUACCAGGUCUUGACAUCCU